rnacentral:rRNA from 1 species
GAUGAACGCUGGCGGCGUGCCUAAUACAUGCAAGUCGAGCGAACAGACGAGGAGCUUGCUCCUCUGACGUUAGCGGCGGACGGGUGAGUAACACGUGGAUAACCUACCUAUAAGACUGGGAUAACUUCGGGAAACCGGAGCUAAUACCGGAUAAUCUAUUGAACCGCAUGGUUCAAUAGUGAAAGACGGUUUUGCUGUCACUUAUAGAUGGAUCUGCGCCGCAUUAGCUAGUUGGUAAGGUAACGGCUUACCAAGGCAACGAUGCGUAGCCGACCUGAGAGGGUGAUCGGCCACACUGGAACUGAGACACGGUCCAGACUCCUACGGGAGGCAGCAGUAGGGAAUCUUCCGCAAUGGGCGAAAGCUUGACGGAGCAACGCCGCGUGAGUGAUGAAGGUCUUCGGAUCGUAAAACUCUGUUAUUAGGGAAGAACAAAUGUGUAAGUAACUAUGCACGUCUUGACGGUACCUAAUCAGAAAGCCACGGCUAACUACGUG